UACGGAGGGUGCAAGCGUUUAUCCGGAUUCACUGGGUUUAAAGGGUGCGUAGGAGGCAGGUAAGUCAGUGGUGGAAAUCUUUGGGCUUAACCCGAAAACUGCCAUUGAUACUAUCUGUCUUGAAUGCGGUGGAGGUGAGCGGAAUAUGUCAUGUAGCGGUGAAAUGCUUAGAUAUGACAUAGAACACCGAUUGCGAAGGCAGCUCGCUACACCUGCAUUGACUCUGAGGCACGAAAGCGGUGGGGAUCAAACAGG
rnacentral:rRNA from 1 species